AGUCAAUAUUUGUUCAGGAAGAUGCUUUGACCAUCAAUCACAUGCCUUUGUUACUUAUUAAUCGACUAGUUAAAUUCUCUCUUAAUGCAUGGGUUUUUAUAGUGUACAAAGUAUUAAAUUCUCUUUAUGAAGUUUAGCCACGACAGUUAUCAACCGACGCUAAAGUUUAGCUUCGAGACUUUUAUCCAAGGCCCCAACACUGACGCUAAACGGACGCUAAUUCUUUGUUUGUGUCGAUUUUUUGAUUUUUAGCGUCGGUUUUUGUCUGACGUUAAGCUCUGCUUUUCUAGUAGUGACCCUAAAUCUCCCAACCCCAUUAUGUAAACCAUUAAUCCCUCUCAGAUUAUCCAAACACAAAAAUUUUCGAACAAACAUAAUGCUCAAGCAAAUAUUCAAAAUAAGUCAUGCAUCAAGAACAAAUAAAAAGGAUGACCAACCUUCAGAGAGGAGGUCUUCUCCGGUAAAAAGGUAAAAGCCUCGUCACUUUUCUGAAUCCCUCUCCUUGAUCAGUGUCUCCCUCUCCUUCUAACUCUUUGUUUCUCUUUUCUGUUUGUGUGAGGUCUGUUAGGGUGGAGGCUAAGCUCAUAUGCAUAUGGUUUCAAGAGCUUUGGUGUGUUUGGUUCGGAAUAGCAGCAGCAAUAGGCUAGGGUUUUCUUCAAUUUUUGUCCCAUUUUUUUAUUUUUUUUCUCUACUUAUUUAUAGAUUAAUUUUUAGGGUUUUGAUCAUAAUUAGCCUGAUUGUUUUAGGAAAGUUGUAAUAUGAUUGAUUAUUAAUUUUUUUAAGGUUUUUUUAUUUCUAAUGGCAACUGUUUGAUGUAAUGUAUCUGGUCCUAUUUCGUAUGUAAAUCCUGAUUUUUGAUGUAUCUGAAAAAUUGGAAAGAUUUUAUUGAUUUGAUAUUCAAUAUUUUCCAUCCAUUUCUUCUUCUGAUUCUGAGCGUAUUAGGGUUUGUUGGG
rnacentral:lncRNA from 1 species